AAUAUUAUUAUUUAACACGCAUAAGAAAUUAAUUAAGUUUACUCAAUUAAAAUGUAUUUUACUGUCUAUGAUUACAACAACGCACCCCUCCCCACCCUCUGACGUGACGACAACUCAACGGUUGAACUUGAGUGAGCGCUGUUUGAACUUGCGGUUGCGCGCUGUUUGAACUCUCCCAGUCCAGAAAAGAACAGAUCUCUUCUCCUCUUCUCUUCUCAUCGGCGCAGAAUUGGAGCAUUUCCACCUGAAAUUAAGGUUAUGGAGUCAGUCGCGUCGCAGCAUUUUUCGGCUGUGAGUGACGCAGGACGGCGGUCUAAAUUUAGAAGUUUCCCCGCAGAGGCGAGUCCAUCUCCGGCAUGGGAACCAGCGCUGACCCGGUGAAUACUGGAUAACAGACCGGUUAUUACACUUGAAUUACUUUAAUGUUUAGGCCUAAAUGUUUAAUUUUUACAUCGAAAAUGUUUCUUACAUGAGUUUAGAUGUAGUCAAUAUUGUAUAACUUAUGUGUUAAAAAUAGAAUAAAAUAUGUUUGCUGUAAUGUUAGGAUAUUAAUUGACAAUAAAGGCCGUGUCAUGUAGUUAUGCUGGUGGUUGUAUGGAAUAUUUUACAAAGGUUUAGAGGAAAUAAAAAAAAGUUAAUAUUACUGCCAUAUAAACACAGUUUAUAUUACUCAUAAUUAUUUGUUUUUUAAAUGUUUCCCCCCAAUUAUUUCUACUCAAGUUUAUUUGUUAAUGUACCAAAUGCAGUUACUCAGAUCUAUUUAAUUUGUUUUACUAACAUUUACUCAGUUAAUACAGUGUAAGUAAUUGCUUUCACUGCUUAAAAAUUUAAUCAAUAUUCUAAGUUUAAAAAGGUUAGUAAAUCAUAUUAAAUGUUUUUAGAGUGCAUCAACACCAGAGUUCAUGUCACAUACUAAAACAUAUUCGAGCCAAUUUUAAUCACUGUUCUAGAAACAUAUUUGAUUCAACUUUGUUCAUUUGCAAUAAUAUGUUGUUGUUUUUUUAUGAAUUUUUUUCUUCUGCUGAACAAGAAGAAAGAUAUUUAUUUGGUACCGGUUUUGACAUUUUCUCACUAAAUAAAUUAUUGCGAUUUAAACAUG